rnacentral:rRNA from 1 species
GCUUGGCCCUAAACCUCAGUAGUUAGAUAACAAAACUACUCGCCAGAAUACUACGAGCAACAGCUUAAAACUCAAAGGACUUGACGGUGCUUUACAUCCCCCUAGAGGAGCCUGUUCCGUAAUCGAUAAACCCCGAUCCACCCCACCCUCUCUUGCUCAGCCUAUAUACCGCCAUCUUCAGCAAACCCUAAUGAAGGCUACAAAGUGAGCGCAAACGCCACUGCCGCGAAUACGUUAGGUCAAGGUGUAGCCCAUGAGACGGUAAAAAAUGGGCUACAUUUUCUAUUUCAGAAAACCCCACGAAAACCCUUAUGAAACUUAAGGGUCCAAGGAGGAUUUAGCAGUAAAUUAAGAAUAGAGUGCUUAAUUGAACCAGGCCAUAAAGCGCG